AUCUUGGGCUCGUGUGGACUUAAUUUCAAGAAUAUAUAGUUCCCUUGGAAUGCAUGCUGCUAAAAAUCAUGGUGGCUAUAAAUAGCUAGGAGCGGUGGAAUGGAGGAGAGCAUAACCAUUUUAGUUAGUCACAUAUAUUUCCAAGAUGAACUCGAAGGCCUUUCUUAUCGCAUGCAUUCUCUUAGCUACCAUCGUCUUCUCUCCCCUAUCCACUUGCACUGCUCGCGAAUUGGCCGAGCGAGACGCAAGUGGAUCAAACAACCCCAAAAAACCAGUGUUCGGUUGCGGAAGGGGUAAGCGAUAUUGCGUACCUAAAACAGCACCACCACCAUGCACAAGUACUUACAAGCGUAAUUGUUAGAAGCAAGCAAAGUUGAGUACUGCUUAAAAGUAUGGAGAGCUAUAAUACUAUCUUUAUCAAUAUGUAAAAUGAUCAGAACUAUUUAUGUGAGAAAAAUAAGUAAAGUUCUCCAGUGGAUUAGAAGAUAAGCAAGCAAAGGUGUGAAGUAUGGGAACUAUUUAUGUGAGAAAAAUAAAUGAAGUUCUUAGUGAGUUUCAUGGUA